rnacentral:sRNA from 1 species
CAAGACGAUCCAGAAGGCUGACUUAUUUUUCGCAUUAAACAGGUCAUUAACCUUGAAUAAUUGAGGGAUGACCUCAUUUAAUCUCCAGUAGCAAAAUUGACCUGUUAUGGGAGGAAUUAUGCGUCUGGAUCGUCUUAC